AGUGAACGCUGGCGGUAGGCCUAACACAUGCAAGUCGAACGGCAGCACAGUAAGAGCUUGCUCUUACGGGUGGCGAGUGGCGGACGGGUGAGGAAUACAUCGGAAUCUACUUUUUCGUGGGGGGUAACGUAGGGAAACUUACGCUAAUACCGCAUACGACCUACGGGUGAAAGCAGGGGAUCUUCGGACCUUGCGCGAUUGAAUGAGCCGAUGUCGGAUUAGCUAGUUGGCGGGGUAAAGGCCCACCAAGGCGACGAUCCGUAGCUGGUCGGAGAGGAUGAUCAGCCACACUGGAACUGAGACACGGUCCAGACUCCUACGGGAGGCAGCAGUGGGGAAUAUUGGACAAUGGGCGCAAGCCUGAUCCAGCCAUACCGCGUGGGUGAAGAAGGCCUUCGGGUUGUAAAGCCCCUUUGUUGGGAAAGAAAAGCAGCAGGUUAAUACCCCGCUGUUCUGACGGUACCCAAAGAAUAAGCACCGGCUACUUCGUG
rnacentral:rRNA from 1 species